CAUCUGAUCGCAUAGGUGGCCUGCGGAGGUCAUUAAUGAGUUGUGAUGGGGUUUUGAUGCUGGUAUCCGAUUUUUUUUGGAUGCAUGUGCUCGCUCUACCAAUCAUCUUCCAAACACCCGUGCACAUUUUUGAGGGAUUUUCGAGUUGAUCGCCCCCCCCACUGUUUGGGUGAUUUUCUUGCAUUCCCCUUAAAAUCCAUUAUAUACGCCGUUAACAAUGCUGAACGUGCUUUGUGCCGCAAGGCCUUUAAUAUAAUACAACUUUUAACAACGGAUCUCUUGGCUCUCGCAUCGAUGAAGGACGCAGCGAAAUGCGAUAAGUAAUGUGAAUUGCAGAAUUCAGUGAAUCAUCGAAUCUUUGAACGCACCUUGCGCUCCCUGGUAUUCCGGGGAGCACGCCUGUUCGAGUGUCACGAAAUUUCUCAAGCUAGGAUGACAUUUUUCCUUUGUCUAUUCCUUAGCCUUGGUUGUUGGGCUUUGCCGUGUGUCCUUCAUUGGAACGGCUGGCCUUAAAAGCAUUAGCUGAUCCUCGUGGCAACUGGUUCUACUCAGCGUGAUAAUAGUCUGAUCGCUGAGGACAUCUUUUGGGAUGGCCAGUUCUCAUUUGGGUUGCUUCUAAACUUGGUUUGCAGAUUCUUCAAUCUGUGUUCCACUUUCAGCUUUGACCUCGAAUCAGGUGGGACUACCCGCUGAACUUAAGCAUAUCAAUAAGCGGGAGGAAU
rnacentral:rRNA from 1 species